CGAGACGCGACGGCCAUACUUCCAUGACGGCCAUGGGAUGUUUCGGCCAUACCGUCACAUCGUCCAUGGGACAUAUCGGCCACACUUUGUGAGACGUAUCGUCCACACUUUAAAAAAAAAAUUUUAUUGAGGUUAUAGCAUAAAAUAUAAUAAUAAAAUAAGUAUUUAUUCAUAAUAAUAACAUUAAUAUGAUUUUGUAGUAUUUUUUUCUGUACAAGAGAUCUUAUUUAUUCUUGUAAGAGUUAUCUUUGCUUGAUCAUCAUCACUCGUGUUUACAACUUGUUGGGGCCAUAUUAUUUUAGAGUCAUUCCAUUUGCUGAACAUCUUUCCAAGACGGAGACUACUGUAGAAUUUUCCAAUAACAUAACAAAUUACCCGUAAUAUCUGACAGGAAUGUGCACCCUAAUAACAUGAUAAAAGAUGGCCAGUUUCAUUUUUAUCAUACUGAAUGUUCUUUUUGCUUAAGUUUGUUCAUUGUGUUGAAUACUAUUUGUUGACAAUUUAAAUGUUCCCAUUUUUGUGCAUUUGUUGAUGGAGAAUUGUAUUAUGGACAAUCAUACCAAUAUACUCUAGUAUAAGAAACAAAAAGAUAAUAUUUUUGUUUAA